AGAGUUUGAUUAUGGCUCAGAACGAACGCUGGCGGCGCGCCUAAUACAUGCAAGUCGAGCGAGAAGGUGUAGCAAUACAUUUGUAAAGCGGCGAACGGGUGAGGAAUACAUGGGUAAUCUACCAUCGAGUGGGGAAUAACCAGCCGAAAGGUUGGCUAAUACCGCGUACGCUUCCGAAUCUUCGGGUUCGGAAGGAAAGCCGCGCUGUGAGUGCGGCGCUCUUUGAUGAGCUCAUGUCCUAUCAGCUUGUUGGUAGGGUAACGGCCUACCAAGGCUUUGACGGGUAGCUGGUCUGAGAGGACGAUCAGCCACACUGGCACUGCGACACGGGCCAGACUCCUACGGGAGGCAGCAGUAAGGAAUAUUGCGCAAUGGGCGAAAGCCUGACGCAGCGACGCCGCGUGGGGGAUGAAGGUCUUCGGAUUGUAAACCCCUUUCGGGAGGGAAGAUGGAGCGAGUAAUCGUUCGGACGGUACCUCCAGAAGCAGCCACGGCCAACUUCGUGCCAGCAGCCGCGGUAAUACGAAGGUGGCAAGCGUUGUUCGGAUUCACUGGGCGUACAGGGUGUGUAGGCGGUUUGGUAAGCCUUCUGUUAAAGCUUCGGGCCCAACCCGGAAAGCGCAGAGGGUACUGCCAGGCUAGAGGGUGGGAGAGGAGCGCGGAAUUCCCGGUGUAGCGGUGAAAUGCGUAGAGAUCGGGAGGAAGGCCGGUGGCGAAGGCGGCGCUCUGGAACAUACCUGACGCUGAGGCACGAAAGCGUGGGGAGCAAACAGGAUUAGAUACCCUGGUAGUCCACGCCCUAAACUAUGGAUACUAAGUGUCGGCGGGUUACCGCCGGUGCCGCAGCUAACGCAUUAAGUAUCCCGCCUGGGAAGUACGGCCGCAAGGUUGAAACUCAAAUGAAUUGACGG
rnacentral:rRNA from 1 species